CUCAAAAUUAUUAUGCCAAAGAUGUAAUUCAUCUCUGAUUCCACGUCAAAGCUUUUAGCACCCUGGGGAGUCAAGACUGGAAUCUCGAAUCUCUGCCUUGACAGCCCUCUUUCUGCCAUAUGACGAACUUGAAUUAUGGAUAUUGGGGAAGAAGACUGCAGAGGUGAAGUCAUGUCAAGGAGAUUCUACAUACACCAACACUGAGACCCAGAGAUCUGGUGACUUUCCUAGGUCACCCCGCAGUUAAUACUAUGGAACUGGAUGCCUACUCACUUGACCUUCGACCUUCAGCUUGUGGUAGCCCUAAAAGGGUUGCCAGUUCACUCUUACAACUUUGCCCCAGGCUGAGGAAAGAACUGACUCCAAAAUGUGUUCUGACAAUGACAUCGUCACAAAGCUUCGGAACUCAACUGUGCGGUUUGCUGAGGUUUUUGUUAAGACUGCAGUGGUAGCCCAACAUCUCCCUUCAUCCACUCCUCUUAUUUUCCUUCUUUCCUCAGGUGUUGAUCAAGAGAACCUCUAAUAAACUUCCUACAUGC